UACGUAGGGUGCUAGCGUUGUCCGGAAUUAUUGGGCGUAAAGAGCUCGUAGGCGGUUCGUCGCGUCGGCUGUGAAAACCUGAGGCUCAACCUCAGGCCUGCAGUCGAUACGGGCGGACUUGAGUACUGCAGGGGAGACUGGAAUUCCUGGUGUAGCGGUGAAAUGCGCAGAUAUCAGGAGGAACACCGGUGGCGAAGGCGGGUCUCUGGGCCGAUACUGACGCUGAGGAGCGAAAGCGUGGGGAGCGAACAGG
rnacentral:rRNA from 1 species